rnacentral:rRNA from 1 species
AUUGAACGCUGGCGGCAGGCCUAACACAUGCAAGUCGAGCGGAUGAAGGGAGCUUGCUCCUGGAUUCAGCGGCGGACGGGUGAGUAAUGCCUAGGAAUCUGCCUGGUUGUGGGGGAUAACGUCCGGAAACGGGCGCUAAUACCGCAUACGUCCUGCGGGAGAAAGUGGGGGAUCUUCGGACCUCACGCUAUCAGAUGAGCCUAGGUCGGAUUAGCUAGUUGGUGGGGUAAAGGCCUACCAAGGCGACGAUCCGUAACUGGUCUGAGAGGAUGAUCGGUCACACUGGAACUGAGACACGGUCCAUACGCCUACGAGAGGCAGCAGUGGGGAAUAUUGGGCAAUGGGCGAAAGCCUGAUCCAGUCAUGCCGCGUGUGUGAAGAAGGUCUUCGGAUUGUAAAGCACUUUAAGUUGGGAGGAAGGGCAGUAAGUUAAUACCUUGCUGUUUUGACGUUACCAACAGAAUAAGCACCGGCUAACUUCGUG